CAACAAUCAAUAACCCUGUUGAAUAUAGAAUCGUUUAAAAUGUAUUGGAACUGUAAUUUUGAUAUUACACAUACAUAACUAUAUGGGUAUUUGCCACCUUUAGUGAAAAUCGUAGGUCCCUAGGUCAAAUAUUGAAAGUUAAAAUAUGCGACGCCAAAAGCUAAGUAGCUCCCCAAAAAUAUGUAAGUGUCUAGAAAGUAUGAGGAUUAUAAUUCUAAUAUUUCACACAUAUUACUAUGUGGAUAUUUGCCACAUUCAGUGACAAUUGUAGUCUUGUUGGUCAAAGGUGGUUGAAAUAGCAACAGAUUGAAAAUUGUAAUUGAAAAAAAAAAAUGCGACGCUAAGUGGGGACAUUUUGUGAUUUAUGAAUCUAUUAAUAACCGUGACGUAAUUGUAUUUCUGAUAUUUCAGGUACAAAGAAGCAUCUGUAUGCAGUUACCCUUCAGCACAAGCUGGCUACAAGCCUUUCAGUUACGGCGGUUAUCGCAACAGCUACACCAACGAGUGGGCUAGAGGUCCACGAAGGUACAACGACUACGACUACCCUACCGCACCUCCCCCCAGAACCACCCACUACAGCUACAACAACGCGGCGUUCCCCAUGGAACUGGAAGCAGAGUCCCCAUAUCGUUUUGUACAUCACCACUCCAAGAAUAUGGACAAUGAAGUUUAUCGAGGCGUCCCCAGUAGCAGAGAAGACUAUAAUGAUAUGUCGCACUACAAUAGAUACGCGGAAUCAGAAGGACGUGAUCCAUUUCUAUGGAGACCGGAUUCACCACGGUCUUAUUACAACUGACACACAACUGCGAUGAUGAAUGAAUUUCACUGAACGAAACGAAACUCGGUGAACAAACGCCAUCGCCGUCAAUCAACCACGCUGGAAAUAAACAACCAGUCAUUUUUGUGCAGUAGACUCCACCCACUUUUAAACUGAAAUCCAAUCAACACAUUUUCAUGAUAUCCCAUCCUAUCCGGCUGUAAAUAUUACUUACUUCUUAGUAUUUGACGUGCCUAUAUCCAAGUAAGGUUCAAGCAUGCUGUCCUGGGGACACAGUCCAGCAGCCUGCUGCUUCUCUGGGACAGAAAGUUAGCUUCAAAUGACUAAAGGACGCCAUUUAUUAUAUAGCAUCAGAUAGAUAUAAGUUAAUUAAUAUACAAUCACUAUGUAACAGGUGUAAUACAUGUUUUUAUUAUAUAACAUUUAGUGAAAUAUCUUAAAAUAUCAGUGAAAUAAAAGUGUUAUCAGUCACUCAGUGAAAAUAACA